GUUCUCUGAAAAACCAUCAGGUGCAACAAAGUUCUGGAAAGCACAUGGGUACAGCAUACAAGGUAGUGUAUGUGUUUGAGGGAAGGUGUGGCCUAAGAAGAUUAACACCCUAGGUGUGCAAUUAUAUGGCAGCUUCUUUUCCUCAGGCAAAAUUGUCCAGAAAAAAAAAAUC